GGUUUUCUGACUAUGUCAUUUGUUAUAUAAUGGUUAGUGUGUGUAUCAAAUAUAUAUCCUUUCCAGAGAAAACAUGUGAAUUAGAAUCAGUAUUGAGAGAUUGAAAAUAGUCUGGAGUCUAGUAUCUGCUAUGUCUGAAAAGACAUUCUCCCAUUUUUUUCCACAGACACAUCAGCUGAUAGCUUGACAGACACUUACAAGACAGUGUUGAUGAGCCUGUACAUGCUACAUGCCUACUGAAUGUAUUCAUAUAUACUUAAAAGGUUCUCCUAGGGCAUCUGGAUUUUUUCACUCAAGUCAUGAACACCAAUCAAUGAGACCAGCAGCUCAACAGAAUGAGAAAUGACUCUUUUCUUACAGCAAUUUCAGCAUUGUCCUCAUGACCAUGCUCACAAGCUAUGCAGGAACCAGGCUACAAAUACUAGUUCAGUUUUGAAAGCCCAGUGGGAUCUGUGUGUCCAGACAACCCAGUGGCUUAACACACUGCCAGUUCAGGGAGAAAAUGACUUGGAAGUUAGUGAUGUAACAUAUCUGUGAGCCAUUAUCAAUCUCACUGGGAAGAUCUGAGAGUUCCCUUAUCUUGUAAAGAAGUGCAUCAUAGUAGUUAGAUAGGAAACGAAAACCGGUAGGCAGUCAUCCCUUGUAGAGCAAAAAAACACUGAAGAGGUUAUAAAACAAAAGUAGACAUAGCUACUGACUGCUGAGGUAGUUUAUCCUAUAUAUUCAGUUUUUUUCCAACUUUGGAAGUAAUAAAAUGUUACAUUUAAAUUGUUGACGUUAAAUAAGUUUUGAA